UACGUUGAGGGGCAAGCGUUGUCCGGAAUCAUUGGGCGUAAAGAGCGUGUAGGCGGCCCGGUAAGUCCGCUGUGAAAGUCGGGGGCUCAACCCUCGAAUGCCGGUGGAUACUGUCGGGCUAGAGUGCGGAAGAGGCGAGUGGAAUUCCUGGGUGUAGCGGUGAAAUGCGCAGAUAUCAGGAGGAACACCAAUUGCGAAGGCAGCUCGCUGGGACGUAACUGACGCUGAGACGCGAAAGCGUGGGGAGCAAACAGG
rnacentral:rRNA from 1 species